CUUUUACCCAUUUUUAUGACUUCGUAAAGAGCUCCCAUUUAACUUCUAUUUUCACCACUUUCAAGAAGAAAGCCAAACUAUUCUUCACUCGAUCGUCUCUAGCUGCUGAAGCUCAACGCUCUCACCUGAAGAAUGGCCGUCCAAUUCCCUAAAAUAAGGCCAACAGCAGAAGCCGAUUUUCACGUGAUGGGCCGCCCGUUGCCAUGGCAGACGCAAACCAAGAUCAGCUUCGGUGUUCCUAAACAAUGCACUGAAGCUCAAUUGUAGCAGUAGCAAGAAAGCUGCUGCCAUCAAUUCAAAUUGUGAGUUUCCUGCAGAUAACUCUCCCUGCAUCACUCGCCUUCUUGCUGAGAUUCUCCGCGAUCCUGUUUUCAAGAUCAACGAUGAUCGCUCCACAUUUAUCCCGUGGUACCAGGCGAACCAAAUGCUGAGCUGAUACGAGCUCCAUCUCUUAUUUAUUCAAUCUACUCACAUAGGGAAAAGAUUUCGAUAUGAUCUCCUUGCCCUUGAAUUCUGCAAACUUGUUAGUCUUUCAAAAUACGAAAAGAUGCUAGUUUUAUUAGGCACGGGAUAUUUCAAAAUACGUACCCUUUUAUGCAGGUUGGUGUGGAGAAGUUCGUGAUGUUAUCUUCUCAGAGAAUGGAAGUGUGGCUUUCGUUUAUAGGGUGACUGUACGGGGUGUGGAUGGCGAGGUGCAACUGUGUCAUCUGGCGAUGGCGAUAUCGCCGAUCCGGCUGCAGCAGCAGAGGAGAUAGCAUUUUGCAGAGCAAGCUCUAGAUUUGGUCUUGGUUUGUACCUUUACCACCAAGAUUAAUGAGCUUAUUAUCUUCCUUUUGGUUUAAUAUAUGUAACGCUUUUCAUUUAAUUGCAAUUUCAUCUUUACUUUA